ensembl:lncRNA
AGAUUGAACAAAAAGUUUUGGGAAUUUCAUUCUGAUCUGAGAAUUGUACUAAAGCGACUGAGAAAAACUGUAAUAGCUUUGAGGAGAUGGAAAGGUUCAAAUGGGCAAAAUGGGCAUAUUUACAUUGAGGGUCGGUCCCUUAGUCGUUUUGAAGGCGGACAGAAUUGUCAGACGGUUCCUGAGUGGGUGGGAGUUUCUUCUGUUUCUUGGUGUUGGGGGGAGGCGGGGGGGUGGGGGGAUUGCAGCAUCCCCAUCACCAGUGUCAGCCAGCGACCAGUAAAGCUGAAAAGGCACAUCACAGCCAGCCUGCAUCCCUCGGCAUCCUGUUUGAGAGUUUCUCUGAUAACGUCAGCAGACAGCAUCAUACAGGGGAGGUUCAGAGGCUGCGCCUGGCUCUGUUUGGAUACUGACUCAUAGCUGAACGGUUUCCAGGCGUGAGCUAAGAGAAAGACCACACAAAGAUUACCGGGUAGUGUUGUUGUACAGUGAGAGGCUUGUACAGUUUAGAUGGAUAAAGCAGACGUUUGGUUCAGAAAUUGGUACUUUUUUCCCCUUCUAAAUCAUGGAGAAGAUUCAGUUGCAGCUCAUCCGUCACUCCAGUGAGGAGAGCAUUCUCUACAAAUCAUGGCCUUUUGUGUGUGCAGCAUCUAUUUCACCGUUGGAUCUAUUUUUGUCUUACAAAAUGUAAUCUUAUCCAGUCAGAGAAUAGGUUGGGGUUGAGGUAUUGAUGCAGAGCUUUGUCAGAACUGCUUUGCUGCUCCAUUUCCUUUGUUUGUUCACUGAUGAGUGUACACCAACUGAGCAGCUGGACAUCGGGGCCGUAUUGACCAAAACAAAGAUAUAUUCAUGUGGAUAUUUGGAGGACGACUGGGUCAGCUCUUGAUUCUGUGGCCGUGGCAGUGCAGGGUGUCAUCUGCAUCAUCCUCAUAGUCAUGGUUGAAGGUUUUCUAUAGGAAAGUAAGUCAUCGUUAUUUACUGGUACUCAAUAAAAAAUAACUCUUGCUCAAAUGUCAAAUCUCUGCCAUUGUACCAUUUUAACAAAUGUAAUUCAGGCCUAAACUUUAGGAUGAGAAGAAAAAUUCUAACUUUAUUUUAGUCAAAACCAAAGGAAAUGUGAUGAACAUUUGAUUAUUUGUUUCUGUACCUUCACAUACCGGAGUACAUGCGGAGAGGUGGGAAAGCUUUUUUCAGAGUUGCUUAGCAACAAGUGAUAACCUAGAUUGAUUUGUUCACCUUGAGGGCCAACAAAGCUUUUACAAAGUCUCUUGAAUAAAAAAAAAACUGAGUGUCCACUGUGGGUCACUUAGAGCCAUCAAAUCUAUUGUUUUUCCACAUAAUCAUGUUUAUUUGGUGCCAUGGAGCUCAUUAGAUGGCUUACAAUGGUAAACCACACCACAGUGUGUCCCAGCGCGGCCAUUCUCACUUUUAUGUCAAAUGUGAGAGAUAACUACCUUUUCUGGUAGUCCUUGCAUUUCAGGUUUAAAAUGCCAUCUUAUAAACCCUAAAUGACAGUAACAUCAUGUACAAAGAUGAAUGAUUAGGAUUUAUUUAAUGAAAAAAAAAUUUUUGUUUGAAAGUUUUAUUCAAUGAAAAAAAUAUCUGCACACAUAGCAAUUGGGAAGGGAUAAAAUAAACCUGAAUGGAGCACAAUCCUUCCAAUGACAAAUAAUAACUAACUAAUAACCCUUUAACACCAGAGCAAAAUAACACACGCUCUUUGAAUUACCACAGUGCUUCUUUUAUACAAGUAACAUAAUAACAAUUGAUUCUGACAUGGAAAAAUAAACAGCCUUGCACAAAAAUUAACAUUUUACUCUAGAAAAGCUGCAUGGUGCUCCAAUGUUUAAGGGUUAUUUUGGGUUAAGGGUUUAAGGGUAAUUUGUGCAUUGUCUCUGGUCAAUAAUAAACAAAGUAAUAAAUAUAUUUAGACAGACAGACAGACAGACAGACAGACAGACAGACAGACAGACAGAUAGAUAGACAGAUAGAGUAUUUUAUUAAUCCCGAGGGAACUUGCAUGUCCAUCUAUUGCUCCAAAAAUACACAAUAAAUUAAAUAUGAGGAUCAUUAAAGGAUAUUAAAAAUAUUAAGUAAUUAAUAGUCAUAAAAACAAAAAAAGUAAUGUCAAUCAAACUCACUAAAAACAGAAUAAGAAGAAUAAAAGUAUAAAAGUAGUAGACCGUUCAGUGACUCCGCCUCAUGCCCCCUCCCCUCCCAGCUGCAUUGAAUAGCCUUAUUGAACUCAGUGCGCAGGACUUCCUGAGCCUUUCAGUUGAGCAUGGCAGAGAGCUAAGGCAGUCACUGAAUGCGCUCCUUUGGUAAGCGAAGACUCAGUGGGGAGGGGGGGGGGGGGAAUCAGUGUUCUUCAUUAUUGUGGUGAUUAGGCUUCUAAAGCCUUUGUUUUUGCUCUCUGUUUUAUUACUGUAGUGAUUAGAGUUCUGUAUGCCUUAGUACUGCUUCCUGUUUUAUUUUGAAGGUUUCUUCCUGCAUAUCUUAGUUUUGGGUUUGACUUCCCUUGUGCCAAUCUUCCCUGAUUUCACCUGUGUCU